rnacentral:rRNA from 1 species
CGCUAUCACUCCUACGGGAGGCAGCAGUGGGGAAUAUUGCACAAUGGGCGCAAGCCUGAUGCAGCCAUGCCGCGUGUAUGAAGAAGGCCUUCGGGUUGUAAAGUACUUUCAGCAGUGAGGAAGGUGGAUGCGUUAAUAGCGUAUUCAUUUGACGUUAGCGACAGAAGAAGCACCGGCUAACUCCGUGCCAGCAGCCGCGGUAAUACGGAGGGUGCGAGCGUUAAUCGGAAUUACUGGGCGUAAAGCGCAUGCAGGCGGCCUGUUAAGUCAGAUGUGAAAGCCCGGGGCUUAACCUCGGAAUUGCAUUUGAAACUGGCAGGCUAGAGUCUUGUAGAGGGGGUAGAAUUUCAGGUGUAGCGGUGAAAUGCGUAGAGAUCUGAAGGAAUACCAGUGGCGAAGGCGGCCCCCUGGACAAAGACUGACGCUCAGAUGCGAAAGCGUGGGGAGCAAACAGGAUUAGAUACCCUGGUAG